AUUGAACGCUGGCGGAAUGCUUUACACAUGCAAGUCGAACGGCAGCACGGGGGCAACCCUGGUGGCGAGUGGCGAACGGGUGAGUAAUACAUCGGAACGUGCCCAGUCGUGGGGGAUAACGUAGCGAAAGUUACGCUAAUACCGCAUACGAUCUACGGAUGAAAGCGGGGGACCGUAAGGCCUCGAGCGAUUGGAGCGGCCGAUGUCAGAUAAGGUAGGUGGUGAGGUAAAGGCUCACCAAGGCGACGAACUGCAGCUGUUCUGAGAGGACGACCAGCCACACUGGGACUGAGACACGGCCCAGACUCCUACGGGAGGCAGCAGUGGGGAAUUUUGGACAAUGGGCGCAAGCCUGAUCCAGCCAUUCCGCGUGAAGGACGAAGGCCUUCGGGUUGUAAACUGCUUUUGUACGGAACGAAAAGGCUCUGGUUAAUACCUGGGGCUCAUGACGGUACCGUAAGAAUAAGCACCGGCUAACUACGUGCCAGCCGCCGCGGUAA
rnacentral:rRNA from 1 species